rnacentral:tRNA from 1 species
GCGAGUGUGGCGGAAUUGGUAGACGCGCUAGAUUUAGGUUCUAGUGUCCUAGGAUGUGAGAGUUCGAGUCUCUCCACUCGCACCA